GGGGGAAUCCUGCUUACCUUGCUGCACUGAGUCCCCCCUCCAUGCUCUGCAACUUUUAGUUGGUUCAAGAACACAGAUAUUUUCUGAGAGGAAGGAUCCCUCGUGUGGUCUGCAGCUGCUAGAGGAGGUUCCAGGGGAGAUCCGGGAAAUUACAGGCCAGUCAGCCUGACGUCAAUACCGGAUUUCAAGUCCCUCAGAGUUCUUCACCAGGCUGGAUAUUCAGUGUAACAAAAAGGUG